UGAACAAAUUUCUUAUCAUUUCUCUCUCCAUUUUUCAAAAACCCAAAUCCCAUUCUCUAUCUCUUCCAUCUACAUUUAAAAUCACAAGCUCUGAACAUUCAAAUUCCCAAACAAACAUGGCUGAAAGAUCUUGCAGAUUUGUACCACCUCCAAGAGGCGAUGUUGGAGAUGAUGAUUUAUGGCGAUGUUGGUUGAUGCUGUGGUGGUUCAAGACCAUUUGAAUCUCUCUCUCUCUUUGCUCAUACGACCUGCAAAACGAGGCUCUGAUCUUCAUUCCGGCAACUCCAGUUCAACUCAAAAGGUACAGUUUUAGUGUGCGAUGUUCGACGGUAGUGGUUGAUGUUGUACGAGAUUCAACGGCGUUGGUGGUUAUUGGUGGUCCGAUUUGGGGGUGAGCAAGUCCGAUUAUUCAACGGGCACCAUAUGCUGUGUUGAUUGUGGAAAAGUUACAUCUCAAGAAAUACAUACAGAAGAUACCCAAUUUGUAGAUGCAGCAGGAUGGGUGUGUUUGUUUUACUUUUAUUUACAACAAAAGCAUGUCAGAAAAACCCAUGCUCCAUAAUCUCUAACCUACAGUUUGGUAUCGGUUACAAACCAGUUUGGUUUGGUUAACCGGCACCUCUAGCUAGGAGUCGUUACACAAUGCUUUGCAUAAUAAUACUACACAAGAACACUUAUUAAAACAGUUUGUAACGUUGAACGCAUGUUGGGUUUGGACAGUUUAAAAGGAGUUUUGGGUAACCAUCAGCAUAGGAAUGCAAAAAAAGAAAUGUAAAAGCGAGAGACAGAAAUUAAGUCGUUGAGGGGUACAAAUUGUUCAUAGUGUCUUCAGCCACCACCCGUACCUUGACUCAUCUUCAUUACAAGAUAUACCGGUAUAGCGACAACAGCAACCAUAUUAAAAUAGGCAAUACUUAACAUCAAUUUGACACAAAAAGUAAAUACAAUGACAAGCAGAACGUUGCAAAAGCUAAAGGCAGGAGGCACAGGUAAAUUCAAAGACAUAGACAUGUGUGUAUUAUAUGUCACAGAUGCCCAAUGAGCCCAAAACAUGCCCAAACACCUUUAUCUUUUUUUGAUUGCUCUUGUUUGUUUUGUUUUGUUUUUAUUUUUGUUUUUUUCUUUUUCGCGUAACCCCUCAGAAUCUACUAAUAAAGUAUUUCGCAUUGUCAUUGACGUAUUGUUAGGUGAUUAGAUUUAGAGGGUUGUUAUUUUAUAGAUAGCAUUGAACGAGCCUAGAUCAUAACAUACAAUGUCAUAUGGUAUCAAACUCCAAAUCAUAGCCAUAACCAAGCAGUUAGCAUUCAGAUGUUAUCAUCUUCAAUGCUUCUGCAUAUAUACAAACAUGCUUACCAACAGCUAAGAUAGAGGCAAGCAGCUGCAACUACACCGAAGCCGUGUUCUCUUGUAAACCCAUGUGCAGCAGCAAACUACAGUUAUGAAGGAAUCGUGAGCUAUCAUA
rnacentral:lncRNA from 1 species